ACAGGGAUUGCCCUAGUAACGGCGAGUGAAGCGGCAACAGCUCAAAUUUGAAAUCUGGCUCUUUUAGAGUCCGAGUUGUAAUUUGCAGAGGGCGCUUUGGCUUUGGCAGCGGUCCAAGUUCCUUGGAACAGGACGUCACAGAGGGUGAGAAUCCCGUACGUGGUCGCUGGCUAUUGCCGUGUAAAGCCCCUUCGACGAGUCGAGUUGUUUGGGAAUGCAGCUCUAAAUGGGAGGUACAUUUCUUCUAAAGCUAAAUAUUGGCCAGAGACCGAUAGCGCACAAGUAGAGUGAUCGAAAGAUGAAAAGCACUUUGGAAAGAGAGUUAAACAGCACGUGAAAUUGUUGAAAGGGAAGCGCUUGCAGCCAGACUUGCUUGCAGUUGCUCAUCCGGGCUUUUGCCCGGUGCACUCUUCUGUAGGCAGGCCAGCAUCAGUUUGGGCGGUAGGAUAAAGGUCUCUGUCACGUACCUCUCUUCGGGGAGGCCUUAUAGGGGAGACGACAUACUACCAGCCUGGACUGAGGUCCGCGCAUCUGCUAGGAUGCUGGCGUAAUGGCUGUAAGCGGCCCGUCUUGAAACACGGACCAAGGAGUCUAACAUCUAUGCGAGUGUUUGGGUGUCAAGCCCGAGCGCGUAAUGAAAGUGAACGGAGGUGGGACCCCGCAAGGGUGCACCAUCGACCGAUCCUGAUGUCUUCGGAAGGAUUUGAGUAAGAGCAUGGCUGUUGGGACCCGAAAGAUGGUGAACUAUGCUUGAAUAGGGUGAAGCCAGAGGAAACUCUGGUGGAGGCUCGCAGCGGUUCUGACGUGCAAAUCGAUCGUCAAAUUUGGGCAUAGGGGCGAAAGACUAAU
rnacentral:rRNA from 1 species